CUACGUGCCAGCAGCCGCGGUAAUACAUAUGUCGCAAGCGUUAUCCGGAAUUAUUGGGCAUAAAGGGCAUCUAGGCGGCCAGAUAAGUCUGGGGUGAAAACUUGCGGCUCAACCGCAAGCCUGCCCUGGAAACUAUGCGGCUAGAGUACUGGAGAGGUGGACGGAACUGCACGAGUAGAGGUGAAAUUCGUAGAUAUGUGCAGGAAUGCCGAUGAUGAAGAUAGUUCACUGGACGGUAACUGACGCUGAAGUGCGAAAGCUAGGGGAGCAAACAGGAUUAGAUACCCUGGUAGUCCUAGCUGUAAACGAUGAUUACUGGGUGUGGGCAUGAAGAGUGUCCGUGCCGAAGCUAAUGCGAUAAGUAAUCCGCCUGGGGAGUACGGCCGCAAGGCUGAAACUCAAAGGAAUUGACGGGGACCCGCACAAGCGGUGGAGCAUGUGGUUUAAUUCGACGCAACGCGAGGAACCUUACCAGAUCUUGACAUCCUG
rnacentral:rRNA from 1 species